rnacentral:tRNA from 1 species
GGGAUCUUAGCUCAGCUGGGAGAGCAUCUGGCUUACAAGCAGAGGGUAAUAGGUUCGUGCCCUAUAGGUCCCA